UACGUAGGGGGGCAAGCGUUGUCCGGAUUCAUUGGGCGUAAAGCGCGGGCAGGCGGCCCGUUAAGUCGGCCGUGAAAGCGCCGGGCUCAACUCGGCGAGGACGGGCGAGACUGACGGGCUCGAGGUUGGCAGAGGGCGGUGGAAUUCCGGGUGUAGUGGUGGAAUGCGUAGAGCUCCGGAGGAACACCAGUGGCGAAGGCGGCCGCCUGGGCCAAUACUGACGCUGAGGAGCGAAAGUGUGGGGAGCGAAACAGG
rnacentral:rRNA from 1 species